rnacentral:rRNA from 1 species
UGGGGAAUAUUGCACAAUGGGGGAAACCCUGAUGCAGCGACGCCGCGUGAACGAAGAAGGUAUUCGUAUCGUAAAGUUCUGUCCUAUGGGAAGAUAAUGACAGUACCAUAGAAGAAAGCUCCGGCUAAAUACGUGCCAGCAGCCGCGGUAAUACGUAUGGAGCGAGCGUUGUCCGGAAUUAUUGGGCGUAAAGGGUACGCAGGCGGUUUAAUAAGUCGAAUGUUAAAGAUCGGGGCUCAACCCCGUAAAGCAUUGGAAACUGAUAAACUUGAGUAGUGGAGAGGAAAGUGGAAUUCCUAGUGUAGUGGUGAAAUACGUAGAUAUUAGGAGGAAUACCAGUAGCGAAGGCGACUUUCUGGACACAAACUGACGCUGAGGUACGAAAGCGUGGGGAGCAAACAGGAUUAGAUACCCCCGUAGUCCCUGAGCGGGCUGGCAAGGCGCAU